GGUUGGAUGGUUUAAAAAGAAUAAUGGUUUUGUAAUCCAUGGGUGUAGAAAGCUCUACUCCAACCU
rnacentral:tRNA from 1 species